rnacentral:rRNA from 1 species
GGAUGAGCCCGCGGCCUAUCAGCUUGUUGGUGGGGUGAUGGCCUACCAAGGCGACGACGGGUAGCCGGCCUGAGAGGGUGACCGGCCACACUGGGACUGAGAUACGGCCCAGACUCCUACGGGAGGCAGCAGUGGGGAAUAUUGCACAAUGGGCGCAAGCCUGAUGCAGCGACGCCGCGUGAGGGAUGACGGCCUUCGGGUUGUAAACCUCUUUCAGUGCCGACGAAGCGGAAGUGACGGUAGGCACAGAAGAAGGACCGGCCAACUACGUGCCAGCAGCCGCGGUAAUACGUAGGGUCCGAGCGUUGUCCGGAAUUACUGGGCGUAAAGAGCUCGUAGGUGGUUUGUCGCGUUGUCCGUGAAAACUCACAGCUUAACUGUGGGCGUGCGGGCGAUACGGGCAGACUAGAGUACUGCAGGGGAGACUGGAAUUCCUGGUGUAGCGGUGGAAUGCGCAGAUAUCAGGAGGAACACCGGUGGCGAAGGCGGGUCUCUGGGCAGUAACUGACGCUGAGGAGCGAAAGCGUGGGGAGCGAACAGGAUUAGAUACCCUGGUAGUCCACGCCGUAAACGGUGGGUACUAGGUGUGGGUUCUUUCCUGAGGAUCCGUGCCAUAGCUAACGCAUUAAGUACCCCGCCUGGGGAGUACGGCCGCAAGGCUAAAACUCAAAGGAAUUGACGGGGGCCCGCACAAGCGG